rnacentral:rRNA from 1 species
UACGGAAGGGGCAAGCGUUGUUCGGAAUCAUUGGGCGUAAAGCGCGUGUAGGCGGCCCGAUAAGUCCGCUGUGAAAGUCGGGGGCUCAACCCUCGGAUGCCGGUGGAUACUGUCGGGCUCGAGUACGGAAGAGGCGAGUGGAAUUCCUGGUGUAGCGGUGAAAUGCGCAGAUAUCAGGAGGAACACCAAUUGCGAAGGCAGCUCGCUGGGACGUUACUGACGCUGAGACGCGAAAGCGUGGGGAGCAAACAGG